CGCUGUAACCCAUAAUCUUAGUGCGCAUCCAAGAACACUCAGUUUAAUAUAAGGUCUGAAUUGGACUGAUAGAUUUACUCUGCGUUUGUUUUUAUUCAGGUGAAAUACCGACGUGUUAAGAUUGAAGGCGCAAGAUGGCAUUGACUGCUGCACAAAAACUAGGAAUUUACUUACUGGGAUUUGGAGUUGCUUUUCUUAUUGGAUGUGCUAUUAUGUUCUACGCAACGAAUGCCCAAAUCAUGUGCAUCAUUUUAGUGAUUGGAUUCCUUUGUGGAGUCGCUGAUUUCAAUAGAGGCCAGUUAGCGCCAGCAGUUCAAGUAUAAACAUUUGUUCAAUCCCUGUAAUUCGAUCCAGGCAGAACACAUGGCAUUUUAGCCACACGCAGUGUUUACUGAUUUUAAACAGGAUUUUAAUAGUUUUUAAAUGACAAAUAAAAAUAUUUGACCA